rnacentral:rRNA from 1 species
CAGUCGCCGCGGGAACACGGAGGGUGCAAGCGUUAAUCGGAAUUACUGGCCGUAAAGCGUGCGUAGGCGGUUCGUUAAGUCUGUUGUGAAAGCCCCGGGCUCAACCUGGGAAUGGCAAUGGAUACUGGCGAGCUAGAGUGUGUCAGAGGAUGGUGGAAUUCCCGGUGUAGCGGUGAAAUGCGUAGAGAUCGGGAGGAACAUCAGUGGCGAAGGCGGCCAUCUGGGACAACACUGACGCUGAGGCACGAAAGCGUGGGGAGCAAACAGGAUUAGAUACCCGCGUAGUCCCUGUCUCUUAUAU